GCAUUAAUGGGGUAGCGGUAACCUGGGUCGUUGCCAUGGGCCGUAACUGGUGACUAUUUCUCGACCCGCCGGGGGUUCGAUUCCCCUUUAAUGCA